UUUUUUUUUUAAUUUUCUGUUUGGUAGGAAAACCAUGUAUGGAUGAUUCGUGUGAUGCAUGUGGGAAUGCAACUGGGUAAUUGGAUGUUUUUGUAGGGUUUAAUUCUUGAUUGCCAAUGAGGUUGGACUAUUUGGUAGGAAAACCAUGUAUGGAUGAUUCGUGUGAUGCAUGUGGGAAUGCAACUGGGUAAUUGGAUGUUUUUGUAGGGUUUAAUUCUUGAUUGCCAAUGAGGUUGGACUUUAAAUGGGAACUGCCAAAUGAGAACUGGUGAAGGAGAUU
rnacentral:lncRNA from 1 species